CUCCCAUUUCUCGGUUGCGAGUGACUUUUGGGACACACUGUAUAUAGAUGAAAAGGCUGAUGUCGCUCUUCGGUCUCACUAAGUGGACGAUGACCUUUGAGACACGAGUAAUCGACUCGGAUUCGGCCCGUACUCCUUCCGUAUAAAUGGACCUGAAGUCGGUUAGUCAAGGUCCUAUUGAACACGUCAUUGUUAUCAUUUUGACGCAGCAGUUAGUACUACCGUCUUCAUUUUCACCUUUACUUCAUGCCAGUAUACAAGAAAGAAGUGCUUACACUGAACACGUGCCAACUAUCGCGAACUGAAAACUGAUACAUAAUGAGAGAGCUGAUGUUGUUCAACUAAAUUGUAAAAAUCAGCAACAUUACAUGUACAACCUUUUUGUCGUGACAUCAAGAAAUACAUUUGUGCUGACUUAUUUAAUCCUUUACACUUCAACUAUUUUUUUCAUAGGCGAACCAGCAACUCCGCGAUAUUUUAAUGUCUUAUACAGAGCGUCCUAUUUGAAGUUUGGCAGCAAAAUGUUUCAAAUGAAUCCUGCUUCAAGGGGGACGUUUUAUAAUGGUCAGAAAUGUUUCCUAGAUAAACCUGCUUUCGAAAUUUCAGAGUGAACUUAGUUUUUUAAUGGAACUGUAUGUUCUUUUUUAUGUAACCGAAUAGUGCAUUUUAAGGUUUACAGCCCACGACAAAAAAUGAAAAUCCAAUGUAGAGAAAUGAUUAAGGAACAAAUGGGAAGUAUAUUUUUCAGCAGAAUAAUGCCGCACAAUACACUGCGAAAGCAGUAAAGAGAGUAUAUUUCUCGAGAAAAGAAAAUUCGCGUUUUGGAUUGGCUAGUAAGAUUACCCGAUCAUAAUAUCACUGAGCAUUGUUGGAGAAAUCUUGACCUAACUGUAUAUGAAAAUGACAAUUUGGAAACAUUGUCGAUUAAAAAAAUGUAUUCUAGAUAAGUGGAAGCAAUUAAAGCCGAAAACUACUUUUAAAAACUUCAUAAAUCUUAGCCAAAUAGAAUAAUGGUUGUAAUUAAAUGUAAAAAAAGAGAGAAAAUAUAAUUUUAAAAUACUUUA